UACAGAGGUCUCAAGCGUUGUUCGGAUUCAUUGGGCGUAAAGGGUGUGUAGGUGGCGCCGUAAGUCGGGGUGUGAAAUUUCGGAGCUUAACUCCGAAACUGCAUUCGAUACUGGCGUGCUUGAGGACUGGAGAGGAGACUGGAAUUCAUGGUGUAGCAGUGAAAUGCGUAGAGAUCAUGAGGAAGACCAGUGGCGAAGGCGGGUCUCUGGACAGUUCCUGACACUGAGACACGAAGGCCAGGGGAGCGAACGGGG
rnacentral:rRNA from 1 species